AUUGAACGCAGGCGGAAUGCUCUACACAUGCAAGUCGAACGGCAGCACGGACUUCGGUCUGGUGGCGAGUGGCGAACGGGUGAGUAAUGUAUCGGAACGUGCCCAGUCGUGGGGGAUAACGUGGUGAAAAUCACGCUAAUACCGCAUACGAUCUAUGGAUGAAAGCGGGGGAUCGCAAGACCUCGCGCGAUUGGAGCGGCCGAUAUCAGAUUAGGUAGUUGGUGGGGUAAAGGCCCACCAAGCCAACGAUCUGUAGCUGGUCUGAGAGGACGACCAGCCACACUGGAACUGAGACACGGUCCAGACUCCUACGGGAGGCAGCAGUGGGGAAUUUUGGACAAUGGGCGAAAGCCUGAUCCAGCCAUUCCGCGUGCAGGAUGAAGGCCCUCGGGUUGUAAACUGCUUUUGUACAGAACGAAAAGGUUUCUACUAAUACUAGGAGCUCAUGACGGUACUGUAAGAAUAAGCACCGGCUAACUCCGUGCCAGCCGCCGCAGUAA
rnacentral:rRNA from 1 species